UACGGGGGGUGCAAGCGUUGUUCGGAAUUACUGGGCGUAAAGGGUUCGUAGGCGGCCAACUAAGUCAGAUGUGAAAUCCCUCGGCUUAACCGGGGAACUGCGUCUGAUACUGGAUGGCUUGAGUUUGGGAGAGGGAUGCGGAAUUCCAGGUGUAGCGGUGAAAUGCGUAGAUAUCUGGAGGAACACCGGUGGCGAAGGCGGCAUCCUGGACCAUCACUGACGCUGAGGAGCGAAAGCCAGGGGAGCGAACAGG
rnacentral:rRNA from 1 species